ACUCUUCUUAAAUAUAAGCAGAAUAAUAAUGGAAAAGAGCUCCUUCAACUUGCGCCAAACUUCUCAGACUCUUCCAUUUCCAUUUUCCUCCAUUUCUGCGCAACUUUACAGAAAUCAGUGUAACUUCUUCAUUCUGUAACAAAAUCACAAGAUUUCAGUUGGGUAUGAAAGAAGACUCUUAAGAAACUACGUUUCUCUUAUAGAUUGGUUCGCCUAAAUCCUUCAAUAAGCCUUCCAAAAUUAGCUGCAAACGAGCUGCCACUGCUUGAUCCUAUGAAAUCACAGUUUUUAUUGUAUAUGGCCUUCACCUGCUACUACUUUGGCCUUCUUCCUAACAGUGUGAGGAAGAGCAGAGGGAGAGAUCAGGGAAGGGGGAGUGUUGAGGUUUGCUGGGCGGGGAUGGUGGCUGGAGUUGGAGGUUCCUGGAGGUAAAUGUGGAAGGUUGAGGCCCCACUAGAGGUUCUAGUCCAUGAUCCUUCUAGUAAAACAAGUGGACAGUUGUAUUUAUCAGCCAUAGGGCAUAGACUUCUUUGCUUGGUGAUGGUUGAGUGAUGCUAAGGAAGGGGUACUUUCACUUAUAUUCUUGUGAAAUCCCAAAUACUAAUUUUGAAAAGGGUCUGAUAAUGUAAAUUGAGUUGCUCUAUAUCAAUCUCAUAUGUCUCAUCUGUUCCAGAAAGGAAGAAAAGAAAGAUAAAUGGAUUAUAGAUAUUUUACCUUCGGUCAUAGAACUGGUGGCUUGCUUGAUACCUCUCACUGCUGAUAAGACUGCCAUGCCAUGCCAUGGCCAAAGUUGGAAGUGAAAUCAAAGUUAGAACAGAUAGCUGCCCAAUCCACUACCUGCUACCACCUUUAUCCUCUGUUAGGAAGUACCGAACAUGGUUGCGAAAAGUAGAAAGUACUUGGUGGAGUUUCUCUUCUCAAGCGGGGACUUGAGCUUUGAUGCUCGUUGGAAGGGGCCAUCAAUGGGCAACUCCAGCUGGAAGUUUGAAGCAUCCUUAUCCUUUGCCUGUUGACUUGGUAUCAGCCCCACAUAGACAGGUUGAAGAUCCUAACUAGAUGAGUAUCUUAACCUAGAACACCUUAUUUUCACUCCAAUUUCCUCAGGAUUAUUAACUUCCCACGAGUUUUGUCAAAUGGGUGCUUAAUAUGUCCCUAGUGCUAUGAGUGAACUAUGUAUUAUGCAGUUCACAAACAGUGCAACAGAUCAAAAGAUUGGUUUCACAAUUAAUUAGU